rnacentral:rRNA from 1 species
AUUGAACGCUGGCGGCAGGCUUAACACAUGCAAGUCGAACGAGUGGCGGACGGGUGUGUCAUGCUUGGGACUCUACCUUAUGGAGGGGGUUAACUACGGGAAACUGUACCUAAUACCGCGUACCAUCGGCUGAGCCCAUGUGGGAUUGGGUAGUUGGUGAGGUAAAGGCUCACCAAGACGACGAUCUCUAGCUGGUCUGCGAGGAUGACCCGCCACACUGGGAGUGAGACACGGCCCAGACUCCUGCGGGAGGCAGGAGUGGGGAAUAUUGCAGAAUGGGCGCAAGCCUGAUGCAGCCAUGCCGCGUGGAUGAAGAAGGCCUUAGGGUUGUAAAGUACUUUCAGCAGGGAGGCGUUACCCGAAGAAGAAGCAACGGCUAACUCCGUGCCAGCAGCCGCGGUAAUAA